GACGAACGCUGGCGGCGUGCCUAAUACAUGCAAGUUGAGCGCUGAAGGUUGGUACUUGUACCAACUGGAUGAGCAGCGAACGGGUGAGUAACGCGUGGGGAAUCUGCCUUUGAGCGGGGGACAACAUUUGGAAACGAAUGCUAAUACCGCAUAAAAACUUUAAACACAAGUUUUAUGUUUGAAAGAUGCAAUUGCAUCACUCAAAGAUGAUCCCGCGUUGUAUUAGCUAGUUGGUGAGGUAAAGGCUCACCAAGGCGAUGAUACAUAGCCGACCGGAGAGGGUGAUCGGCCACACUGGGAUUGAGACACGGCCCAAACUCCUACGGGAGGCAGCAGUAGGGAAUCUUCGGCAAUGGACGAAAGUCUGACCGAGCAACGCCGCGGGAGUGAAGAAGGUUUUCGGAUCGUAAAACUCUGUUGGUAGAGAAGAACGUUGGUGAGAGUGGAAAGCUCAUCAAGUGACGGUAACUACCCAGAAAGGGACGGCUAACUACGUG
rnacentral:rRNA from 1 species